UUAAGCGACUAAGCGUACACGGUGGAUGCCCUGGCAGUCAGAGGCGAUGAAGGACGUGCUAAUCUGCGAUAAGCGUCGGUAAGGUGAUAUGAACCGUUAUAACCGGCGAUUUCCGAAUGGGGAAACCCAGUGUGUUUCGACACACUAUCAUUAACUGAAUCCAUAGGUUAAUGAGGCGAACCGGGGGAACUGAAACAUCUAAGUACCCCGAGGAAAAGAAAUCAACCGAGAUUCCCCCAGUAGCGGCGAGCGAACGGGGAGGAGCCCAGAGCCUGAAUCAGUGUGUGUGUUAGUGGAAGCGUCUGGAAAGGCGCGCGAUACAGGGUGACAGCCCCGUACACAAAAAUGCACAUGCUGUGAGCUCGAUGAGUAGGGCGGGACACGUGGUAUCCUGUCUGAAUAUGGGGGGACCAUCCUCCAAGGCUAAAUACUCCUGACUGACCGAUAGUGAACCAGUACCGUGAGGGAAAGGCGAAAAGAACCCCGGCGAGGGGAGUGAAAAAGAACCUGAAACCGUGUACGUACAAGCAGUGGGAGCCUCUUUAUGGGGUGACUGCGUACCUUUUGUAUAAUGGGUCAGCGACUUAUAUUCUGUAGCAAGGUUAACCGAAUAGGGGAGCCGAAGGGAAACCGAGUCUUAACUGGGCGUUAAGUUGCAGGGUAUAGACCCGAAACCCGGUGAUCUAGCCAUGGGCAGGUUGAAGGUUGGGUAACACUAACUGGAGGACCGAACCGACUAAUGUUGAAAAAUUAGCGGAUGACUUGUGGCUGGGGGUGAAAGGCCAAUCAAACCGGGAGAUAGCUGGUUCUCCCCGAAAGCUAUUUAGGUAGCGCCUCGUGAAUUCAUCUCCGGGGGUAGAGCACUGUUUCGGCAAGGGGGUCAUCCCGACUUACCAACCCGAUGCAAACUGCGAAUACCGGAGAAUGUUAUCACGGGAGACACACGGCGGGUGCUAACGUCCGUCGUGAAGAGGGAAACAACCCAGACCGCCAGCUAAGGUCCCAAAGUCAUGGUUAAGUGGGAAACGAUGUGGGAAGGCCCAGACAGCCAGGAUGUUGGCUUAGAAGCAGCCAUCAUUUAAAGAAAGCGUAAUAGCUCACUGGUCGAGUCGGCCUGCGCGGAAGAUGUAACGGGGCUAAACCAUGCACCGAAGCUGCGGCAGCGACGCUUAUGCGUUGUUGGGUAGGGGAGCGUUCUGUAAGCCUGUGAAGGUGUGCUGUGAGGCAUGCUGGAGGUAUCAGAAGUGCGAAUGCUGACAUAAGUAACGAUAAAGCGGGUGAAAAGCCCGCUCGCCGGAAGACCAAGGGUUCCUGUCCAACGUUAAUCGGGGCAGGGUGAGUCGACCCCUAAGGCGAGGCCGAAAGGCGUAGUCGAUGGGAAACAGGUUAAUAUUCCUGUACUUGGUGUUACUGCGAAGGGGGGACGGAGAAGGCUAUGUUGGCCGGGCGACGGUUGUCCCGGUUUAAGCGUGUAGGCUGGUUUUCCAGGCAAAUCCGGAAAAUCAAGGCUGAGGCGUGAUGACGAGGCACUACGGUGCUGAAGCAACAAAUGCCCUGCUUCCAGGAAAAGCCUCUAAGCAUCAGGUAACAUCAAAUCGUACCCCAAACCGACACAGGUGGUCAGGUAGAGAAUACCAAGGCGCUUGAGAGAACUCGGGUGAAGGAACUAGGCAAAAUGGUGCCGUAACUUCGGGAGAAGGCACGCUGAUAUGUAGGUGAAGUCCCUCGCGGAUGGAGCUGAAAUCAGUCGAAGAUACCAGCUGGCUGCAACUGUUUAUUAAAAACACAGCACUGUGCAAACACGAAAGUGGACGUAUACGGUGUGACGCCUGCCCGGUGCCGGAAGGUUAAUUGAUGGGGUCAGCGCAAGCGAAGCUCUUGAUCGAAGCCCCGGUAAACGGCGGCCGUAACUAUAACGGUCCUAAGGUAGCGAAAUUCCUUGUCGGGUAAGUUCCGACCUGCACGAAUGGCGUAAUGAUGGCCAGGCUGUCUCCACCCGAGACUCAGUGAAAUUGAACUCGCUGUGAAGAUGCAGUGUACCCGCGGCAAGACGGAAAGACCCCGUGAACCUUUACUAUAGCUUGACACUGAACAUUGAGCCUUGAUGUGUAGGAUAGGUGGGAGGCUUAGAAGUGUGGACGCCAGUCUGCAUGGAGCCGGCCUUGAAAUACCACCCUUUAAUGUUUGAUGUUCUAACGUUGACCCGUAAUCCGGGUUGCGGACAGUGUCUGGUGGGUAGUUUGACUGGGGCGGUCUCCUCCUAAAGAGUAACGGAGGAGCACGAAGGUUGGCUAAUCCUGGUCGGACAUCAGGAGGUUAGUGCAAUGGCAUAAGCCAGCUUGACUGCGAGCGUGACGGCGCGAGCAGGUGCGAAAGCAGGUCAUAGUGAUCCGGUGGUUCUGAAUGGAAGGGCCAUCGCUCAACGGAUAAAAGGUACUCCGGGGAUAACAGGCUGAUACCGCCCAAGAGUUCAUAUCGACGGCGGUGUUUGGCACCUCGAUGUCGGCUCAUCACAUCCUGGGGCUGAAGUAGGUCCCAAGGGUAUGGCUGUUCGCCAUUUAAAGUGGUACGCGAGCUGGGUUUAGAACGUCGUGAGACAGUUCGGUCCCUAUCUGCCGUGGGCGCUGGAGAACUGAGGGGGGCUGCUCCUAGUACGAGAGGACCGGAGUGGACGCAUCACUGGUGUUCGGGUUGUCAUGCCAAUGGCACUGCCCGGUAGCUAAAUGCGGAAGAGAUAAGUGCUGAAAGCAUCUAAGCACGAAACUUGCCCCGAGAUGAGUUCUCCCUGACCCUUUAAGGGUCCUGAAGGAACGUUGAAGACGACGACGUUGAUAGGCCGGGUGUGUAAGCGCAGCGAUGCGUUGAGCUAACCGGUACUAAUGAACCGUGAGGCUUAACCUU
rnacentral:rRNA from 2 species